ensembl:lncRNA
CCCUAUUCCCCAUAUACAGUAUAGUGCACUACUUAGGCACCCUAUUCCCUAUAUACAGUAUAGUGCACUACUUAGGCACCCUAUUCCCUAUAUACAGUAUAGUGCACUACUUAGGCACCCUAUUCCCUAUAUACAGUAUAGUGCACUACUUAGGCACCCUAUUCCCUAUAUACAUUAUAGUGCACUACUUAGGCACCCUAUUCCCUAUAUACAGUAUAGUGCACUACUUAGGCACCCUAUUCCCUAUACACAGUAUAGUGCACUACUUAGGCACCCUAUUCCCUAUAUACAGUAUAGUGCACUACUUAAGCACCCUAUUCCCUAUAUACAGUAUAGUGCACUACUUAGGCACCCUAUUCCCCAUAUACAGUAUAGUGCACUACUUAGGCACCCUAUUCCCCAUAUACAGUAUAGUGCA